rnacentral:rRNA from 1 species
UACGUAGGGACCGAGCGUUGUCCGGAUUCAUUGGGCGUAAAGAGCUCGUAGGCGGCCACUCAAGUCGAAUGUGAAACCUCGAGGCUCAACCUCGAGCCUGCAUUCGAUACUGGGCGGCUAGAGUCUGGUAGGGGGAUCUGGAAUUCCUGGUGUAGCGGUGGAAUGCGCAGAUAUCAGGAGGAACACCGAUGGCGAAGGCAGGUCUCUGGGCCGAUACUGACGCUGAGGAGCGAAAGCGUGGGGAGCGAACAGG